AUGUCGACCAACGUGGACAGCGUCUCCGCCUCCACCAUCACCACCACGGCAACCAAGUGCCAUUCCCACAUCCUCACAAUCCAAGGGUACUCGCAGACCAAAUUGUUCGCCGAUGGCUCGUCGUUGAAAUCCAAAACGUUCGAGGCGGGUGAUUACACCUGGUGCAUCUUGUUCUACCCCAACGGGUCAUCCGCCGCCGCCGACCAUAUCUGCCUCGCCCUCGGCCUCGCCGACAGCUGCGACCGCACCGUCAGUGUCCAUGCCCGGUUCACUAUUGUCCCUCACCACGGCCGGCCGGCUCCGGCGACAACCUACUGCAGCAGCUUCCGGUCGAACUUCCGUCAUAUGGGUGACAAUCAUCGUGAUCCGCCCAGUCCAUUGAUCAAGAGGGCAGAGCUCGAAGGAUCCGAGUACCUCGUGGACGAUGGUUUCGCCGUCCGGUGUGAUGUCACCGUUGUCACCGCACGGUUGCGUAGUGAUGGGGCCGUGCAGCCGCGUGACCUAGAGAGGGCGGGAAUAGCCUGCAGCUGCAAGGACCAACUCUGCAAACGUCGCCACGCAUCAAGCUGGGAAUCAUCCACGUCCGAGACGACGCCACCGCCACCGCGUCGCCGCCGUACGGGGAUUAAAGCGGCGUGGUUCCGGCUCAUCAGGCGCACACUGCCAUGA
rnacentral:rRNA from 1 species